rnacentral:rRNA from 1 species
GAAUAACCUCGGGAAACCGUGGCUAAUACUGGAUACGAAACGAAGCCGCAUGGCUAUUGUUUGGAAAGUUUUUCGGUUUGGGAUGGACUCGCGGCCUAUCAGCUUGUUGGUGAGGUAAUGGCUCACCAAGGCGACGACGGGUAGCCGGCCUGAGAGGGCGAUCGGCCACACUGGGACUGAGACACGGCCCAGACUCCUACGGGAGGCAGCAGUGGGGAAUAUUGCACAAUGGGCGAAAGCCUGAUGCAGCGACGCCGCGUGAGGGAUGACGGCCUUCGGGUUGUAAACCUCUUUCAGCAGGGAAGAAGCGAAAGUGACGGUACCUGCAGAAGAAGCACCGGCUAACUACGUGCCAGCAGCCGCGGUAAUACGUAGGGUGCGAGCGUUGUCCGGAAUUAUUGGGCGUAAAGAGCUUGUAGGCGGUUUGUCGCGUCUGCUGUGAAAAUCCGGGGCUCAACCCCGGACUUGCAGUGGGUACGGGCAGACUAGAGUGUGGUAGGGGAGACUGGAAUUCCUGGUGUAGCGGUGAAAUGCGCAGAUAUCAGGAGGAACACCGAUGGCGAAGGCAGGUCUCUGGGCCACUACUGACGCUGAGAAGCGAAAGCAUGGGGAGCGAACAGGAUUAGAUACCCUGGUAGUCCAUGCCGUAAACGUUGGGAACUAGGUGUGGGUCUCAUUCCACGAGAUCCGUGCCGCAGCUAACGCAUUAAGUUCCCCGCCUGGGGAGUACGGCCGCAAGGCUAAAACUCAAAGGAAUUGACGGGGGCCCGCACAAGCGGCGGAGCAUGCGGAUUAAUUCGAUGCAACGCGAAGAACCUUACCAAGGCUUGACAUAUGCGAGAACGCGGCAGAGAUGUCGAACUCUUUGGACACUCGUAUACAGGUGGUGCAUGGUUGUCGUCAGCUCGUGUCGUGAGAUGUUGGGUUAAGUCCCGCAACGAGCGCAACCCUCGUUCUAUGUUGCCAGCACGUGAUGGUGGGGACUCAUAGGAGACUGCCGGGGUCAACUCGGAGGAAGGUGGGGAUGACGUCAAAUCAUCAUGCCCCUUAUGUCUUGGGCUUCACGCAUGCUACAAUGGCCGGUACAAAGGGCUGCGAUACCGCGAGGUGGAGCGAAUCCCAAAAAACCGGUCUCAGUUCGGAUUGGGGUCUGCAAC